CAGUCGCCACGGUAAUACAGAGGGUGCGAGCGUUAAUCGGAUUUACUGGGCGUAAAGCGUGCGUAGGCGGCUUCUUAAGUCGGAUGUUAAAUCCCUGAGCUUAACUUAGGAAUUGCAUUCGAUACUGGGAAGCUAGAGUAUGGGAGAGGAUGGUAGAAUUCCAGGUGUAGCGGUGAAAUGCGUAGAGAUCUGGAGGAAUACCGAUGGCGAAGGCAGCCAUCUGGCCUAAUACUGACGCUGAGGUACGAAAGCAUGGGGAGCAAACAGGAUUAGAUACCCCCGUAGUCCCUGUCUCUUAUAC
rnacentral:rRNA from 1 species